rnacentral:rRNA from 1 species
UACCUGGUUGAUUCUGCCAUUAGUCAUAUGCUUGUCUCAAAGAUUAAGCCAUGCAUGUCUAAGUAUAAACAAAUUUGUACUGUGAAACUGCGAAUGGCUCAUUAAAUCAGUUAUAGUUUAUUUGAUGGUACAUUACUACAUGGAUAACUGUGGUAAUUCUAGAGCUAAUACAUGCGUUAAAAUCCCGACUUACGAAGGGAUGUAUUUAUUAGAUACAAAACCAAUUCGUGGCAACACGAUAUUGGUGAGUCAUAAUAACUUUUCGAAUCGCAUGGCCUUGAGCCGGCGAUGCAUCAUUCAAAUAUCUGCCCUAUCAACUUUGGAUGGUAGGAUAGAGGCCUACCAUGGUUUUAACGGGUAACGGGGAAUAAGGGUUCGAUUCCGGAGAGGGAGCCUGAGAAACGGCUACCACAUCCAAGGAAGGCAGCAGGCGCGCAACUUACCCAAUCCCGACACGGGGAGGUAGUGACAAUAAAUAACAAUACAGGGCUCUUUUGGGUCUUGUAAUUGGAAUGAGUACAAUUUAAAUACCUUAACGAGGAACAAUUGGAGGGCAAGUCUGGUGCCAGCAGCCGCGGUAAUUCCAGCUCCAAUAGCGUAUAUUAAAGUUGUUGCUAUUAAAAAGCCCGUAGUUGAAUUUGAGGAGUAAAGUUUAGGUCCAUUGAAAGAUGAGUACUUUAACUUUAUUCCUUCCCUUGUAGUGAACUAUAUUGAAGAAAUUUGGUAUAGGGAACUAUGAAUUUUACCUUGAGAAAAUUAGAGUGUUCAAAGCAGGCCUACGCCGGAAUACAUUAGCAUGGAAUAAUAAAAUAGGACGAGUGAUUCUAUUUUGUUGGUUUAUAGAACCACCGUAAUGAUUAAUAGGAACAGUUGGGGGCAUUAGUAUUCAGUUGCUAGAGGUGAAAUUCUUGGAUUUACUGAAGACUAACUACUGCGAAAGCAUUUGCCAAGGAUGUUUUCAUUAAUAAAGGACGAUGGUUGGGGGAUCGAAAAUGAUUAGAUACCGUUGUAGUCCCAACAGUAAACUAUGCCGACUGAGGAUUGGAUGACGUUAUAUUAUUGACUCAUUCAGCACUCUGCGAGAAAUCAAAGUUUUUGGGCUUAGGGGGGAGUAUGGUCGCAAGGCUGAAACUUAAAGGAAUUGACGGAAGAGCACCACAAAGAGUGGAGCCUGCGGCUUAAUUUGACUCAACACGGGGAAACUCACCAGGUCCAGACAUAGUAAGGAUUGACAGAUUGAUAGCUCUUUCUUGAUUCUAUGGGUGGUGGUGCAUGGCCGUUCUUAGUUGGUGGAGUGAUUUGUCUGGUUAAUUCCGAUAACGAACGAGACCUUAACCUGCUAAAUAGCCGGUACGACAUUUUGUUGUACAUUGGCUUCUUAGAGGGACUAUUGAUGUUUAAUCAAUGGAAGUUUGAGGCAAUAACAGGUCUGUGAUGCCCUUAGAUGUUCUGGGCCGCACGCGCGCUACACUGACAGAGGCAGCGAGUAUUAUAUUCCUUAUUCGAAAGAAUUGGGUAAUCUUGUUAAACUCUGUCGUGCUGGGGAUAGAGCAUUGCAAUUAUUGCUCUUCAACGAGGAAUUCUUAGUAAGCGCAAGUCAUCAGCUUGCGUUGAUUACGUCCCUGCUCUUUGUACACACCGCCCGUCGCUACUACCGAUUGAAUGGCUUAGUGAAUCCUUCGGAGUGGUCUAUUUGAGCCGGCAACGGCACAUUUGGACUGCAAAGUUGGGUAAAAAUGGUCAUUUAGAGGAAGUAAAAGUCGUAACAAAGGGCGAAUUCGGGCCGCAAAUCAAUCGCCAAGAUAUCC